rnacentral:rRNA from 1 species
GAUGAACGCUGGCGGCGUGCCUAAUACAUGCAAGUCGAGCGAACAGAUGAGGAGCUUGCUCCUCUGACGUUAGCGGCGGACGGGUGAGUAACACGUGGAUAACCUACCUAUAAGACUGGGAUAACUUCGGGAAACCGGAGCUAAUACCGGAUAAUAUAUUGAACCGCAUGGUUCAAUAGUGAAAGACGGUUUUGCUGUCACUUAUAGAUGGAUCCGCGCCGCAUUAGCUAGUUGGUAAGGUAACGGCUUACCAAGGCAACGAUGCGUAGCCGACCUGAGAGGGGGAGCGCCCACCGGGAAACUGAAACCGGUCCAAACCCCCCAGGGGGGGCCAGAGGGGGAAAUCUUCCCAAAGGGGAAAAACCCUGAGGGAGAAACCCCGGGGGAGUGGAAAGGUUUUUCGGAUCGAAAAACUUUUUUUUAGGGAAAAAACAAAUGUGUAAAAAACGAAGCCGGUCUGACCGGAACCAAAUAAAAAAGCCCCGCCAAACUACGG